UUCUAUUAGAAAUAAUUAAUAGUAAAAUCUGCUCAAUGAUUUUAAAUAGCCGCUUUUAGUGCUAAGGUAGCAUAAUAAUUUGUCUUUUAAUUAAAGACUAGAACAAAAGAUUUAACAUCUUAAUUUAUAUUUUAAAUUGAUUUUUUUAAAUUAUUUUAAAUGUAAAAAAACAUUUAUUAAAAAGAAAGACGAUAAGACCCUAUUGAACUUAACUUUAGUUUAACUGGGGUAGUUAAUAAAUUAAUAUUUUCAUUUUUUUCUUAAAAAUAAAAUUGACCUAAUACAAUUAAUAUUAUAAUCAAGUUACCAUAGGGAUAACAGCGCAAUAAAAUUUUUCAGUUCUUAUUUAAAAUUAAGAUUACGACCUCGAUGUUGAUUAAUAUUCUAAAUUUACGCAAUAGUAAAUUAAGAAAGUCUGUUCGACUUUUAAAAAAUUACA
rnacentral:rRNA from 1 species